rnacentral:tRNA from 1 species
GGAGAGAUGCCGGAGUGGUCGAACGGGGCGGUCUCGAAAACCGUUGACCGCAUUUGCGGUCCAAGGGUUCGAAUCCCUUUCUCUCCGCCA